GGUGGCUCAAUGGUAGAGCGCUUGCCUUACAUGCAUGAAGCCCUGGGUUCGAUUCCUCAGCACCA
rnacentral:tRNA from 1 species